rnacentral:rRNA from 1 species
GUGCAGCAGUCGAGAAAACUUCACACUGUGCGAAAGCACGAUGAGGGAAUCCCAAGUGCUUGCACGUAAGUGUAAGCUGUUUCUCUGUCUAAAACGCAGAGAGAGUAAGGGCUGGGUAAGACGGGUGCCAGCCGCCGCGGUAAUACCUGCAGCUCAAGUGGUGACCGUUAUUAUUGGGCCUAAAACGUCCGUAGCCGGUUUAAUAAAUGCCUGGGUAAAUUGUGUAGCUUAACUAUACGAAUUCCGGGUAGACUGUUAAACUUGAGACCGGGAGAAGUUAGAGGUACUCCUGGGGUAGAGGUGAAAAUUCUGUAAUCCUAGGGGGACCACCAGUGGCGAAGGCGUCUAACUAGAACGGGUCUGACGGUGAGGGACGAAGCCCUGGGGCGCAAACGGGAUUAGAUACCGCGUAGU